UAGAUGAUAGUAUAGUAAUAAAUACUUUUUGCUUACACCAAAAAACUGGCAUCAGCCUCAUCUGCGU
rnacentral:tRNA from 1 species